UGAGGAAUAUUGGUCAAUGGACGCAAGUCUGAACCAGCCAAGUAGCGUGCAGGAUGACGGCCCUAUGGGUUGUAAACUGCUUUUAUAUGGGGAUAAAGUGGGGAACGUGUUCCCUUUUGCAGGUACCAUAUGAAUAAGGACCGGCUAAUUCCGUUCCAGCAGCCGCGGUAAUACGGAAGGUUCGGGCGUUAUCCGGAUUUACUGGGCGUAAAGGGCGUGUAGGCGGCUAGAUAAGUGUGAUGUUUAAAUCCAAGGCUUAACCUUGGGGUUCAUUACAAACUGUUUAGCUUGAGUGCUGGAGAGGAUAGUGGAAUUCCUAGUGUAGCGGUAAAAUGCGUAGAUAUUAGGAGGAACACCGGUGGCGAAGGCGGCUAUCUGGACAGUAGCUGACGCUGAGGCGCGAAAGCGUGGGGAGCAAACAGG
rnacentral:rRNA from 1 species